rnacentral:tRNA from 1 species
GCGACUGUACGUUAGCGGUAAGACUGCAAGCCUUCCAAGUUUGUAGCGGGAGUUCAAGUCUCUCCAGUCGCACCA